GGAAUAUUGGUCAAUGGGCGGAAGCCUGAACCAGCCAUGCCGCGUGCAGGACGACGGCCCUAUGGGUUGUAAACUGCUUUUGCUGCGGAGCAAUAAGGGCCUCGUGCAGGUCCGAUGAGAGUACGCAGCGAAUAAGCAUCGGCUAACUCCGUGCCAGCAGCCGCGGUAAUACGGAGGAUGCGAGCGUUAUCCGGAUUUAUUGGGUUUAAAGGGUGCGUAGGCUGUGCGUUAAGUCAGGGGUGAAAUGCCGUCGCUCAACGACGGAGCUGCCCUUGAUACUGGCGUGCUGGAGUACGGAUGCCGUUGGAGGAAUGAGUGGUGUAGCGGUGAAAUGCUUAGAUAUCACUCAGAACACCGAUUGCGAAGGCAUCUGACGAAUCCGUCACUGACGCUGAGGCACGAAAGCGUGGGGAUAGAACA
rnacentral:rRNA from 1 species